UAGUGUAGUGGUUAUCACGUCUGCUUCACACGCAGAAGGCCGCCGGUUCGAUCCCGGCCAGGACCU
rnacentral:tRNA from 1 species